rnacentral:rRNA from 1 species
UACGUAGGUGGCAAGCGUUGUCCGGAUUUACUGGGCGUAAAGGGCGCGUAGGCGGCCUCCGCAAGUCGACUGUGAAAUCUCCGGGCUUAACCCGGAAAGGUCAGCCGAAACUGCGGGGCUAGAGUGCAGAAGGGGCAACUGGAAUUCUCGGUGUAGCGGUGAAAUGCGUAGAUAUCGAGAGGAACACCUGCGGCGAAGGCGGGUUGCUGGGCUGACACUGACGCUGAAGCGCGAAAGCUAGGGGAGCGAACGGG